rfam:Mortierella elongata AG-77 unplaced genomic scaffold K457scaffold_14, whole genome shotgun sequence.
AAUGUUGUUGCAAUAGUCAUUGAACUUAGUACGAGAGGAACUGUUCAUUAUUCGGAUAAUUGGUAUUUGGGCCUGCCUGAGCAGGCAAUGGCCCAAAGCUAUCAUCCGUUGGGUUAUGGCUGAACGUCUCUAAGUCAGAACCCGUGCUAGAACGCGACAAUUACCGCCUUAUGCCAUUUUUAGUUGAAUACGAAUAGACCUACGGUCCUGAAUCUUACGAACGUGGGAUUACCUUGCAGAGCGGAAAGGCUUUGUGAGGUUCCUGCUAAUGUUAAUUUCUAAUAUUGGAAGAGAAAAAUCCAUUGCAGACGACUUUAAUUGAACGGGGUAUUGUAAGCAGUAGAGUAGCCUUGUUGCUACGAUCUUCUGAGAUUAAGCCCAUUGCUCUAUACAUUU